rnacentral:rRNA from 1 species
AUUGAACGCUGGCGGCAUGCUUUACACAUGCAAGUUGAGCGGUAACAGGCCUUCGGGUGCUGACGAGUGGCGAACGGGUGAGUAAUGCAUCGGAACGUACCCAGAGGUGGGGGAUAACGCAGCGAAAGCUGUGCUAAUACCGCAUGUGAUCUGAGGAUGAAAGCGGGGGACCGAGCAGCAAUGUUUGGCCUCGCGCCUUUGGAGCGGCCGAUGUCGGAUUAGCUAGUUGGUGGGGUAAAGGCCUACCAAGGCGACGAUCCGUAGCUGGUCUGAGAGGACGACCAGCCACACUGGGACUGAGACACGGCCCAGACUCCUACGGGAGGCAGCAGUGGGGAAUUUUGGACAAUGGGCGCAAGCCUGAUCCAGCAAUGCCGCGUGCGGGAAGAAGGCCUUCGGGUUGUAAACCGCUUUUGGCAGGAACGAAACGGUGUCCGCUAAUACCGGGCGCUAAUGACGGUACCUGCAGAAUAAGCACCGGCUAACUACGUG